AUUUUCUACGUGAUGAAUUCAUAGUUCAAAUGACCUUUGUGAUUACAGCAGUUAAAUGUCUUUCGCUCCUAACUGAUAUCACAC